AAGGGGCUAUGGCGUGCGUAAGACAGCACUGUCCCAGAGGCCGAUGCAAAUCGCUAGGGGACUGCCUCUGCCCGCGCUCCGGUGCGGUUAUGCGGUUCCCACCUGUAACCCAGGGCCUAGCGGAUACCCCCCGUCGACGGCGUUUCACGGCUCCUUC
rnacentral:other from 1 species